rnacentral:miRNA from 1 species
UGGUUAAAGCGCCUGUCCUGUAAACAGGAGAUCCUGGGUUCGACUCCCAGUGGGGCCUAGGCUUUUCCUC